rnacentral:lncRNA from 1 species
CAGGGAGGAAGGGUUCAUUCAGGGUUAUGGUUUCAGAGGAUACUGUCCAUCAUGGUGAGGAAGGCACAGCAGCGGGAGGAAAAAGCCUGCCGGUCACAUUUCAUUCAGUAGGGAUGGAGAGAGAGCAAGCAGGAAGUGUGGCUGGGCUAUCAAACCUCAAGGCUUGCCUUCAGUGACCCACUCCCAUCCACAAGGCUCUGCCUCCUUCAGGGUCCAUGACUUUCCCAAAUGCUCGUGCGCUUGAGCCCAUGUGGGGACAGUUCACAUUCCAGCCACAGCACAGGGCUUGUUGGGAGGUGAUAGGUCCUCAGAGGUAUCAGAGUAGUUCUCGUGAGGUCACAGUUACUCACAAAAGUGAGUUGUUAGGAAAAUAGUGAGUCAGACCCUGGGGCUCUCUGGCUUCCUGUCUCCUGUGGUGGUCACUUCUAUACCCAUUCCUAGCAUGGUGAAGCUGGGAACAUCCAAGAACAGCAAGCACUCAAAACUGCCGAACCACCACUCCCACCUUCUGGUGCUAACAUUCCAUCCCUGGUUUGUAUGGUGCUGGGGGAUUGAACCUAGGUCCUUGGUCAUGCUGGGCCUGCAAGGUGCCCACCAUGGAGCACGGCUCACCUCUCUUGGAUGAAGCCCAGAGAGCCCUCGGUGCACAGACCGUAGGAAAUCACCCAGCUGAAGAGCUCAUUUUCUUUCAGGAUCAGUGUUGGAAGCUGCUGCGAUUCAAACGAGCAAAUGUUAGCUUCGAGAGGAAAUUGAUAAUUAUGCGAGGUCUGUUAAAUGAUCGUUGGCCAAGCACAUUUCAUUCCUUCAAAUGAGCUCGUGUCUACAGUUGUGGCAAUCGUUCACAGGCCAGGAAAGAAAACCAGCUCAGAUGAGGAUGGGCAUCACUUCCAAUAGGUCGUCGAGGUUCGAAGCACCUGGAAAGAAGUCAUCCGUUGGAGGCUGCAAACCAGAUUUAGUUGUAAUGUGAAUGAUUAGCCUAUAUUAACUCAUAAAUUAGAUACAUUAUCCUAAACUGCACUGAAUAAAUAUUGAGUAUGUAAGA